CCUUUUGGCUGGCAGGGGAGAUACCCUGAUCACGAUGGGGGUUCUCCCAGGGUGAGGCUCAGCCAUUGCACUCCGGCUGUGCUGACCCCUGAGAGUUCCCCAAAUGCGGGAAACUCGACUGCAAAAAAAAAAUCUUGGCCUUUUGGCUAAGAUCAA